UACGUAGGUGGCGAGCGUUGUCCGGAAUUACUGGGUGUAAAGGGCGUGUAGGCGGGAAGAUAAGUCGGAUGUGAAAUUCUGGGGCUCAACCCCAGCGCUGCAUCUGAAACUAUUUUUCUUGAGUGCUGGAGAGGAAAGCGGAAUUCCUAGUGUAGCGGUGAAAUGCGUAGAUAUUAGGAGGAACACCAGUGGCGAAGGCGGCUUUCUGGACAGUAACUGACGCUGAGGCGCGAAAGCGUGGGGAGCAAAC
rnacentral:rRNA from 1 species